GAUUAUGGCUCAGGAUGAACGCUGCGGCAGGCUAAUACAUGCAAGUUGAACGGUAACAUGUUGUAGCAAUACGAUGAUGACGAGUGGCGCACGGGUGCGUAACACGUGUGUAACCUACCUUAUACAGGAACAUAACGUUGAGAAAUCGGCGCUAACAUUCCAUAAUAUUAUUUGUAGGCAUCUAUGAAUAAUUAAAACUCCGGUGGUAUAAGAUGGGCACGCGUUCCAUUAGCUAGUUGGUAAGGUAACGGCUUACCAAGGCAACGAUGGAUAGGGGUUCUGAGAGGAUAAUCCCCCACACUGGAACUGAGACACGGUCCAGACUCCUACGGGAGGCAGCAGUAAGGAAUAUUGGGCAAUGGAGGCAACUCUGACCCAAGCCAUGCCGCGUGCAGGAAGACGGCCCUAUGGGUUGUAAACUGCUUUUAGUAGUGAAGAUGAUGACAGUAGCUACAGAAAAAGCACCGGCUAACUUCGUGCCAGCCGCCGC
rnacentral:rRNA from 1 species